rnacentral:misc_RNA from 1 species
ACUUCCCACCUGAUUGACAUAUAACAAUAAGCUUCCCUGUAGGCAUGGCUUGCCGAAGAGUGCCUAUGGAAUUCAACAAGACCAAAUAAUCUGCCCAAGCAAAAUCCAUCAGUAAUUGCAAAUGGAAUGUCCACUCAGCUUCAAGUUAAAUAAGUUGUAGCUAGCAAUAAAAUGUAGAAUUCAGCGGAUCCAGCUUUCAAUGAGCUUACCAUUAUGUUGGAAAAUAAGGCAAUUGGAUGAGAGUUAACAAGCUAGGAACUUAGCUGCUGAUAAGCUGGCUAGUUUCAACUAUUCAUGUAAUCAUGUGAUGAGUUAUUUAAAUAGGUAUACAACUAAUACAAGUAAGGUGAAGAACCAAUUCUCAUAAUGUGUUUUGAUUGACAAAGAAAAUCCUCUCUCUUCCUUUGUUAUUAUCUGUUCUCUCUCUCUCAAGAAUUUCCCCUCAAUUUGUCAGAAUCCAAACUGAUACUCUACACAGAAUCCUUCGCUUCUUAUCAUAAUAAUCAGUGUGCGAAAAACUCAGAAUUAUGGACAUCAAUUUUCAGAUUUUUAUAGGCAUUGACUCAGACAAAAAUCAUAGAAUACUUGAUAGAAUCCUUCAUCAGGGCGGUUCACAUUUUCAAACUAGAAGCAUUUAAAGCAUGCUAUAUUCAAAUAAAAAAAUGAGCUUUUCGGCAAGCUCUAAAAACUUACAUUAACAUAUAUGGCACACACAAAUCACAGCUUUUCGUUAUCCUUAAUAACAUAAAAUAACAAUGUACCAAAGAAGAAAACUUAACAGACGGAAUACAAGGAAGCAUAAAAGGGAGAAACUGACCCAGACGCCAAAUUUCCAAAAGCUGGAAAAACCCUAGCUUUCACCGCAUUGCUGAAGAAACCCUAGAUUUUCCCUGAUGGGGGUUUUCAGUUUUCAACGGGCAAGGGCCGACGCGAACAGGAAUUGGGAAAUGAGAAAUCGUUG